GCGUUACCCGGAUUCACUGGGCGUAAAGGGCGUGUAGGCGGCCUGGGGCGUCCCAUGUGAGAGACCACGGCUCAACCGUGGGGGAGCGUGGGAUACGCUCAGGCUAGACGGUGGGAGAGGGUGGUGGAAUUCCCGGAGUAGCGGUGAAAGGCGCAGAUACCGGGAGGAACGCCGAUGGCGAAGGCAGCCACCUGGUCCACCCGUGACGCUCAGGCGCGAAAGCGUG
rnacentral:rRNA from 1 species